UACGAAGGGGGCUAGCGUUGUUCGGAAUUACUGGGCGUAAAGCGCGCGCAGGCGGUCUUCCAAGUCAGUGGUGAAAGCCUGGAGCUCAACUCCAGAACUGCCAUUGAAACUGUUAGACUUGAGUACGAGAGAGGUGAGUGGAAUUCCCAGUGUAGAGGUGAAAUUCGUAGAUAUUGGGAAGAACACCGGUGGCGAAGGCGGCUCACUGGCUCGUAACUGACGCUGAGGUGCGAAAGCGUGGGGAGCAAACAGG
rnacentral:rRNA from 1 species